GACGAACGCUGGCGGCGUGCCUAAUACAUGCAAGUAGAACGCACAGUUUAUGCCGUUGCUUGCUACACCAUAGACGGUGAGGUGCGAAUGGGUGAUUAAUGCCUUGGUUACCUGCCUGGUAGCAGGGGAGGAAUCUUGGGAACGUUCGCUAAUACCUCAUAAUCUUGAUUAUUGCAUGAUGAUUGAUGGAAAGGUGCUAUUGCAUCACUACCAUGUGGACCUUCGGUGUAUUAGCUAGUUAGUGGGGUAACGACGCACCUAGGCGUAGGUACAUAGCCGAACGUGGGGGGUGGUCCGCCCACCGGGGACUGGGACACGGCCCAGACUCCUUCGGGAGGCAGCAGUAGGGAAUCUUCGGCAAUGGGGGGAAGUCUGACCGAGCAACGCCGCGUGAGUGAAGAAGGUUUUCGGAUCGUAAAGCUCUGUUGUAAGAGAAGAACGGGUGUGAGAGUGGAAAGUUCACACUGUGACGGUAUCUUACCAGAAAGGGACGGCUAACUACGUG
rnacentral:rRNA from 1 species